GCUUCCAUUCAUAUUUGCAUCUCCGUUUCUUGCCUUUGUUUGCAGAAGAUUCAUGUAUAGUCCUUCCAUGCAGGAAGUAGUCAGGAGACAUGGAAGAGAGCAGAUGAAUUACCCGACAUAUUUUGGAUGGAAGCUUUCUCGGCUGACUAUAAAUCUCUUGGGAAAUCUAGUUUUUCAUUCUUGAUAUGAGAUCGGUCCUUUUUCAUUCUCUGGAUGCCACUUAUCACUCGUUUCACUCUUCUGAUGUGCCAGAUGGGAUGGGAUCAAAAGAUUGUUGCAUAUUUUCUAACUAUUCUACAAUUGGCGAUGACCAUAAUAGAACUGGGAUUUAGAUCUCAAUGAUAUAGUCAUUACGGGAGCUCCUUGUGGCAGCAGAAACGAUCAUUAAAGAGAAGUAACGAACAAGAGGCCAUAGUGGGAGAAGCAAGAACCAAUUUCCUUUCAGAAGUUAUCCUUGAGUACACAUUGAGAGAUAGAGAAGCUAAGCUGUUAGGAGGAGGAAGGAAAAGGACUAAGAAGUCAUCAUAGCGGGAGAACCAAGAACCAAUUUCCUUGCAGAAGCUAUCCUCGAGUACCUAACUUCCUUUGAGAGAUAGAGAAGCUGUUACAAAGAGGAAGGGAAAGGAUUACGAUACACAAGAAGAGUGUAUAUAUAUAUAUAUACUUUAAUGUCAUGUAUUAUCGUGUAGAUUUGUCUCCACAGAACUGUCAUCGGCUUUCCAUCCUUUUUUUUUUUUGUGUUUCCAUCAGUAAAGAUUUGUUUGAAGGGAACAUUUAUUUCUGUGCUUGAUGAUACUGGAUUAGGUCAUCUCUAAGGUAAAACUAUAUUUGUUGGAAAUGGAUUGGAUCUCUCGUUUUAAUAGGAAAAAUCAAAACCGGAA